GGGGUGCAGUGGUGCAAUCAUAGCUCACUGCAGCCUCAUAUUCCUGGGCUCAAGUGAUGCUUCUGCCUCAGCCUUCCAAAGUGUUGGGAUUACUGGUGUGAGCCACUAUGCCCGGCUGAGGAUGCAUUUAAAAUCAGACUUCUGCUUCAUCAUCACUUCAGAGUUUCCCAGGCAUUGACCAGAACGACUCCCAUGAUCUCCUAUAAUUACAUCCAUGAAUUACCUCCUCCAAGGAGAACAUAAGCACCUUGAGAGAAAGAAGUGCCUCUUAAAAUCAUAUCCCAAACCCCAAGACAAAUGAUGUUAGUGUCUAAGAAAAAAAGACAAAAUGCUAGCUGAGCAGAAGGACACAGAGCCAAGCAAGGAGGGAGCUUCCUCUGGGACUCCUGAAGCCCCAGAACAGCAGGUGUCUGUGUGGUAGACUGGCUGCUGCUCUAAUCGCUUUCAGCUGAGAAACACCAGUAUCAUGACACAAGCUCCCAAAAGAGUAGUAUGUUACAUUUACAUUGUAAGAAAUGAGCUGGGAUUUCAGACAGAAGGAAAGGAUGGUCCUCACGGCUGGCUGAGCAUGUGUGGGGGUGGUUAGGAUGCAGCUGCUCUCUCCCAAAACCCGGCCCUCACCCCUCACUCUUGGCUGACGAGCUAUUUCCCUGAGAAAAGAAGCAAAGAGGAAUGCUAUGUCUACCCUCUUCUCUAACCACCUCAUGGGACACCUCCAGCUGUCUGCAUCUCUGUCCCCUCUGGCUGACUCGAGGCCCCACAGCCAUUUUCACCCCAUGGGCAACAACUAUUUCUCAUUCUCGACAGAAUCACCCCCACUAUUAUCUCUCCCAUGAAAACAAAACAAAAUGAAAAAUCCUUUCUUAACCUCAACUCCUAUUCCUGCUACUAUCCAAUUUCUCUUUUUCCUUUAGGGCAAAAUUUCUCAAAAAAAAAAAAAAAUUCUGAAUAGACCAAAUUCAAUUCUUCUACCACUCUCUCCUAAACCUCUCCAAUCAGGAUUUCCCUUACAGAUCCAGCCACAGGGCCUCAGAGAGUCACACGACCUCCCCUGAGCUAAAUCCCAGCACUAUUUCUCAGUCUUCCUUGGGCUGGACUCUUAACAGCAUUUGACACAGUUGAUCACCUGUCCCUGAAGCUUCUCAUUCCCUUGGCUUCAGAAACUGCACGCUCCUGGUUCUCCCUCUAGCCUGACCAGUAGCACCUUCCCAGUUCCUCCUUCUCUACCAGACUGCACAUGGGAGAGCACCAGAUUCGUCUCCCAAACUCCACACACACACACACACACACACACCAGAUUCAUCUCCCAAACUCCACACACACACACACACCAGAUUCAUCUCCCAAACUCCACACACACACACACACACACACGUUUGUCUCCCAAACUACACACACGCACACACACCAGAUUCAUCUCCCAAACUCCACACGCACCAGAUUCAUCUCCCAAACUCCACACACACACACACACACACAUCAGAUUCGUCUCCCAAACUCCACACACACACCCCCCCUAGAUUCGUCUCCCAAACUACACACACACACACCAGAUUCAUCUCCCAAAACACACACACACACACACACACACACACACAUCUUCUUGAUGCUGCCACUCAUCGCAUACUAACACAGCUAACACAGCUCCCAAACUACACACACACACACACACACACACACACACCCCUACCUGCCUUCCUGAUGCUGCCACUCACUGCAUACCAACACAGCCCAAAUUUUAAACAUCUGAAACCUAAUUCUGGCCUUUUCUCAAGCCUGCUUUACCCACAGUCUUCCCCAUCCCAGCUUCAGGCAACCUCAUUUUCGUAGUAGCCACUCUGGGAGCCACACAAGUGCUUUUCCCAUGGGGGAAGCACGAUACGAU
rnacentral:lncRNA from 1 species